GCCUGGCUGGCUCAGUUGGUAGAGCAUGUGACUCUUGAUCUCGGGGCUAGGGUUUGAGCCCCAUGUUGGGUA
rnacentral:tRNA from 1 species